AGGCGCUACCUGCAGUCGAGCGGAUGAAGGGAGCUUGCUCCUGGAUUCAGCGGCGGACGGGUGAGUAAUGCCUAGGAAUCUGCCUGGUAGUGGGGGAUAACGUCCGGAAACGGGCGCUAAUACCGCAUACGUCCUGAGGGAGAAAGUGGGGGAUCUUCGGACCUCACGCUAUCAGAUGAGCCUAGGUCGGAUUAGCUAGUUGGUGGGGUAAAGGCCUACCAAGGCGACGAUCCGUAACUGGUCUGAGAGGAUGAUCAGUCACACUGGAACUGAGACACGGUCCAGACUCCUACGGGAGGCAGCAGUGGGGAAUAUUGGACAAUGGGCGAAAGCCUGAUCCAGCCAUGCCGCGUGUGUGAAGAAGGUCUUCGGAUUGUAAAGCACUUUAAGUUGAGAACAAGGUAGCCGUAAA
rnacentral:rRNA from 1 species